UUCGCAAUGCCCGAAAGGGUGAACGAGCGACGCCGCGUGCGGGAUGAAGGGCUUCGGCUUGUAAACCGCUUUUCUUUGGAAAGAAGGCCCUGAUCGUGAAUCAGGGAUUGACGGUACCAGGGGAAUAAGCCUCGGCUAACUCCGUGCCAGCAGCCGCGGUAAGACGGAGGGGGCAAGCGUUGUUCGGAAUUAUUGGGCGUAAAGGGCUCGUAGGCGGACCGGUGUGUCUGGCGUGAAAUCUCCACUGCUUAACAGGGAGGGGCCGCUGGAGACUGCCGAUCCUGAGUAUGGUAGAGGACCAUGGAAUUCCGGGUGUAGCGGUGGAAUGCGUAGAUAUCGGGAGGAACGCCGGUGGCGAAAGCGAUUCUCUGGUCCUUUCCUGACACUGAGGCGCGAAAGCUAGGGGAGCAAACAGGAUUAGAUACCCUGGUAGUCCUAGCUGUAAACGAUGGGCACUAAGUAGAGGGGUUUU
rnacentral:rRNA from 1 species